UUCAGUGUCGGACAGAAUGGACUGCUGAUAUCUCUGGGAUUUUCUGCAGUUGGAUUAAUUGUUCUUGUUAUUACUCUUCUGAUGCCUAAAAAACAGGAACAUCAUCCCAGCUCAUCCUAGUGAAGAAGAUGACAACCAGUUUGUCUUGAAGUAAACAUCUGGUCAACCAGGAGCACUUAGAGAUGAUUCAAAGAAACAGGAAGAAGCUGGACUCAGUGUUUUAUCUGUUGGUUUCCCAAUUCUGUGGGAUUUUCUGCAAAACGUGAACAGUGACAUGGCAAAGAAAUGAAUGUCCCUCCAACAUUGACAAGAGGACAAGACAAAACCUGGUCAGGGAGGCUGCCAAGAGACCUACAGCAAUACUGAAGCAGCUGUAGGAAGUACUAGCUGUGUACUACAUGUGUCUCCUGCAUACUCCAUAUAUAUGGCGUCGGGUUGCAAAUUUUGAAGCCAACGUGAUAACCUUAUCCAGCCAGUGAUGUGGAGAUACAUUUUUUAGAUCCACUUAAAAUCAAAUCACUCAAAAAGAUCCUCUGGAAAAGAGUAAAAUUCUUGAAACAGAGUUUAUUAAACAGAGUCAUAUAAACAGCCAAACAGUUCAUCACAAUACACAGAACAGCAACACAGCAUGUAGCACAGUAGGCAAACCAAAUCCUGUGGGGUGACGUGAGGAGGGCUGUGCAUAAGAGACGUCCUCGGAAUCUAACGUAUAUGGAGUGUUUUUGCAAGGAAGUGUGGACAAAUAUGGCAAACGUAAGAUGUGCCAUGAAAUACUGGGAUUAACUAAAACAUAUUUGUUUGUUUUUCAUCUUUGUUAUCAAGGUCUGCACCAAUAAAGUGACCCUGUCUCUCAACUGCCACCUUAACGUGGUGGAGGGAUUUGUGAACUCAGAUGUUCCUGGGAGCUGAGUUAUCUGGAGGGUUCAGCUCCUGGUAGGUUCUCCUGAGACAAACUGGUCUCAGGUGGUGAACAAGACUAAGAGCAGUUCACAUGAACUGUAUUUACUAUUUACACACUGCUAAACAAACUGCUGCUAUUCUUUUGCUCUUAAAUUAUUGAAAGACAUGUUACAGAAAAUAAUUGUUUUGAUUAUGGUUAAUCUUUGAUUUGGUAAAAAGAUUAAAGUGAAAAAUGUUUGUUUU